rnacentral:ncRNA from 1 species
UUGAUAGAGGUUGCAUUCUUAGAAGAGUACUUUUUCGGAUGCGUCAGGCGCAGGGGAGGAAAAGGGAAAGGCGAGAAUGCCGAAAGGAUGAGCUGCCUGUAAGGCUCAGACCUUGGGCAUACGGUUAAGAGCCGUAUGACUGUCAUUCGUUUUCACGGAUGGGGCGCUAUCGGGU